rnacentral:rRNA from 1 species
GUGCCAGCCGCCGCGGUAAUACGAAGGGUGCAAGCGUUAAUCGGAAUUACUGGGCGUAAAGCGCGCGUAGGUGGUUUUGUAAGUUGGAGGUGAAAUCCCCGGGCUCAACCUGGGAACUGCCUCCAAAACUGCAUGACUAGAGUACGGUAGAGGGUGGUGGAAUUUCCUGUGUAGCGGUGAAAUGCGUAGAUAUAGGAAGGAACACCAGUGGCGAAGGCGACCACCUGGACUGAUACUGACACUGAGGUGCGAAAGCGUGGGGAGCAAACAGGAUUAGAUACCCUCGUAGUCC